rnacentral:lncRNA from 1 species
GUUCAUCAAUUAUAUUAUUUAUUGGCUUGUCUGUUCAAUUUUAGGGUGAUAUAGUCUGGUAUGCUAUUGUUUGCCAAAGGAUUGGAACAGUGAGUACAAACCAUGCUUUAUCAAUUGUAUUUAUUGUCUAAUUUAAUGCAAAUGAUUAUUUUCUGCAAUAGUAUUUAAUUGAAAGCUAUGGUGCAGGGAGUUCAGAGUACCUUGUAGAAGAUUUCCUGUUGAAGUCUACUGGUUGAAAGGAGUGUUUUUGUUCACAGAAAAUGAAGGUAAACUUCAAAAAGUUAAUUUUAAGAAUGGUAGUCUGAUUCUAAAUGGUAGUUUAAUGAAAGGGUGUAUUUUUGAGGAUCUCAUUCUAGAUGAAAUUAAUGUUAGCAGAGUGCUGCCACCUCACUGUUGUCAUUUCUUUCACUGCCAAGACUGAUCAGAUAGAGAACGGCCGGAAUGUAAAACUGAUAGAUGUAAACGACAAUGCUCCAGAAUUUCAGCAAGCUAACUACAGUGCUUCAGUGUCAGAGGUAGCUGGAAUUAAUUCCACGGUUGUAAAAGUGGAAGCUCAGGAUAAGGACUUUACACCAGAAUUCAGCAUCCUUACCUACAGUCUUUGGGGCCCAAACUCUGAUUACUUUUCGAUAAGGGAAGGAGAUGGAAACGUCAUGGUGAAAAAACCACUGGAUUACAACGAGGUCAACUUUUUCAAUUUAACAGUCCAAGCAAAGGAAAGAUUUGGAAGCCAGAGUGCCACUGCCCCAUUAAUAAUUAAUGUGGAAGAUUAUGAUACAUUGAACCCCUAUUUCAGUCAAUUCACAUACAAUGGGAAUAUCACUGAAAACCAGGUGGGUCCUCUGGAUGUUUUCCCAGAGGUCUUGGCUCAGGAUGG